AUUGAACGCUGGCGGCAGGCCUAACACAUGCAAGUCGAACGGUAACAGGAAGAAGCUUGCUUCUUUGCUGACGAGUGGCGGACGGGUGAGUAAUGUCUGGGAAACUGCCUGAUGGAGGGGGAUAACUACUGGAAACGGUAGCUAAUACCGCAUAACGUCGCAAGACCAAAAAGGGGGACCUUCGGGCCUCUUGCCAUCGGAUGUGCCCAGAUGGGAUUAGCUAGUAGGUGGGGUAACGGCUCACCUAGGCGACGAUCCCUAGCUGGUCUGAGAGGAUGACCAGCCACACUGGAACUGAGACACGGUCCAGACUCCUACGGGAGGCAGCAGUGGGGAAUAUUGCACAAUGGGCGCAAGCCUGAUGCAGCCAUGCCGCGUGUAUGAAGAAGGCCUUCGGGUUGUAAAGUACUUUCAGCGGGGAGGAAGGGAGUAAAGUUAAUACCUUUGCUCAUGACGUUACCCGCAGAAGAAGCACCGGCUAACUCCGUG
rnacentral:rRNA from 1 species